UGUACCGUAUUUCUAAAAUAAUCAGGUAAUGUCCUAACCUGUCAUAUAGGAGAUGUGAAUACGCUUAUUUCUUGUCAAUUACAUUUUCCAAUUUACCUUUAUUUCACAGGGUCUCCAGCAAAUACCUCCUCCUGGUAUGAUUAAUAAUAUAACAGGUUUAACCCCACAACAAGUGGCAUGGUCAUUCCUAAAUUAAUUUUAGGUUCCUGAAGUGACAAAUAAAUAAACAAAUAAAUAAAAGAAACUUGGCAGGUUCCAUAGGUCAUUCCACACAUGACAUCAUCUCUUCCACUAGUUACAUAAUUACACACCAGCCAUCACCCUAAAUACAGUUUUUUUUAGUAUAUACAGCUAGCUGAUACCUCAUGGUUAAUAAAACCAAACAUCAUUUUGGAAGGAAAAGACUUCUCAUAUACCUCAUCUCUCUCGUGUUUCAAGCUCUGAUUCCAGAGCCUAGUUCUCACUUCUAACUAGUUAUUUCAUAAUUAUAACAUCCUAUUCUGUAUUCCCUACUCCAUACUUCCCAGAUCCCAUUCCUCACAUCCAAAUCCUACUUCUUCAUCACUUAGCCCUAGGUCUUUGAUAAUCCUCCUUUCCAUCCUCUCCAUCUCUAUCAUGUAUUCACAUUUCCACACCCAAAAACCAGAUGAAUCAUUUACAUGAAACAUAGCUCAUCCAAGAGAUGGUGAAUGCAAACUUGACAAGAAACUUAAACAGGAAAUGCUUUAUAUCACAAAUAACUUUAAACUUCUAGAUGAUGUAUAAAUAGAAAAUGUAUAACUUCUACAAAUGGCUAGAUAAAAGGAACCAGGUUCAAGUAUAAAAAUAUUGCUCAAAUCAAUUUGUUGGUGCUUCUCCAUGCCAUGAAGUAACUUAAGGGAAUAAUAAAAAUUGCUGGACAAAAACUGGUGAAUAUUUUCUUUCUUAUUUUACUGAGCAUAUUUGAAACUAAUAUUAUGACAACCUGGGAUAUUAUCACAUCUAUCACCCACAAGAGAGACUACAUCAACAAACUGAGAAGGUUUCAGAUCUCCAUAUCUUUUUGAGAAAUCCUCCAUUCCAAAUGAAACCAUCCUGGGAAAGCAAAGCAAUAAAAAUGAAAUCUCAGAUACUUAAGAACCAAGGCAGAAAAUCUAAAACUGAAAAGUAAAACAAACUUCGUUAACUUUGGCAGAAGAAACCACCAUAACUAAUAUCUUAAAGUUACGAAUUUUCAACAUAUUAGUAAAUUUUAUCAGUUCAACUUCUCAAUAUAAUUACUAGUAACCAUCAAAUUAUAAUCUAAACAACUGACAGAAACAGCCAGUGUGUGAUGUCAAGGAAUCUACUCUAUAAUGAAUAAUCUGCAGGUAAAACAAGAUUUGCUGGGAAAAUAAGAUAGUGGUGCACAUCUAGUUUUACUUUUAUAACCCCAAAUAGCUCUGGCCUAAAAUUAAAUAUCUUGAUAUGGGUACCAAAUUUCCUAAACUACUUUCAGCAUAUAAUUAAUGAACCUAAACUAGUAAAAAAUAGUCAAACUUUUAAUUACUAGUUUAUUACUAAUAACAUCAUCAUAACUUACAAUGAAAAUGAAAAAACUAACAAGAGGAUUCUUCGGAUAUAACAUUGUAAAACUUAUAUUUUAACUGUCCCAAAUUGGCAGCUUCCACUAUAUUUAGGAGGAAAAUAGUCAAAUGACAAGGGAUAAGCCUAAUCUAUCAAUAUCCAUGAAUUCAGAUAUAGCAUUGAGAGUUACAUUAGCAGGGGUACGCACACAUCAAAAAUGAUAGCCAAAUUAGAAAGUCUCCUGUAGAAAUAUUUAGAACCCAUAUACUAGACCAAAAGUCCUUUAGGAUACCCAAACAUAUGUACAGCACAAAUUUGUACAAAAGAAGCAUACAUACACAAAGAGAGACGUAUAUUUAUACAUAUUUAUACAUAUAUAUAUAUGGAAAUAAGCAAGCUGCCCACUAUAUGAAAAACAAGGUCUUCAUUACCCUUUUUCAAUUCAGGUUAAGAAAGAUGAUGUAUCAAAGAAUGUAUACUAACUCAUAGCCACGUGGUGCAAUUCGUAGUAGGCGUAAUGAAGGACAUAGGAUCUGAAAGAAAUCCUUGUCUGGGGAGACAACUCGAACCUGUCAGGAAAAAAGUUAAAUCCAAAGCACCUAAUCAGAAAGGCAAAGUACUAAAAAACUGAGUAUUUAUAUGAUACUAAAAUUGUGUCCUUAGGAAUAAUAAAUCAUAGAUAUUUUUAAUAAAAUGAUUUCUUGGUUGCAUAAUACUUAGUCAAACCCUAUGAGCAAAACUUAUUUACAAAAAUCAAAGCCUGUUGACUUCAGCCCUGAUAUUUAUAAGACAACUACUUUCUUCCUAUUCCAUUGUGAUAUACAUGCUCUACCUCUUUACUCACAUAUAGAUGGACAAGGAUUAAAAGAAAGGAAAUAUUUCCAUUGAUAUCAUUAAUCAUUCAAAGGAAAUAUUUCCAUUGAUAUCAUUAAUCAUUCAGCCAUUUUAAGAAGGUAUCGCUUAAUUGUCAUUAACUGAUUAUAUAAUGUCAAGAAUUAUUUUGAAAUGCUUAACUUUUUGAAAAUUUAAAUCAUUAAUGUGAUUCUAAUUGUUUUUUUUUUUUACAGAAACAGAUUUUAAUACCAUAAAAACUGAAACUGGCCAAAAACAUCUCCAGUUAUUUCAAUCAACAUACCUCCACCAUAAGUCAUCAGUGGAGUAACAGUAGCUACCAAGUAACCAGAGAGUCAACAAGAGAAACUUCAGACCACUUCAAACUUUUGAAAAAGUAAACUCUUAAUAUAGCUCCAGCAUCAGGUAAAUAUAUGUCUUUCCUUAAUUCGUGUAAGAGAAGCAUGUUCAAUAAAACGAUUGCCAAUUUUGAAAUUUUACACCCUUUUUUCUUAUAAUUGUUAUUAAUAAAUGUGAUAUCACAAAAUAAAUUGAACAACUGAUUGUCACAUGCAAAAGGAAGUACCUUUGAACUGGUGAAACCUCUUUUACUCCAAACAAAACUAAAAGUCCAUAUCAAAGGGCAUGCUCAUGUUUUCCCAAAUAAGUCUUAAGAAAAAUACCUUAAACCCUUCAUCAACACUCCUUGCAGCCAGUGUCCCAAUCACAUCAUCAGCUUCUACACCAGGUACCUGCCAUAG
rnacentral:lncRNA from 1 species